GCCUCGGUGGCGUAGUGGUCAAGACGCUCGCCUGCUAAACAGGAGGGCGCGGGUUCGAUCCCGACCGAGGCA
rfam:Asian citrus Psyllid, Diaphorina citri - Florida Strain, whole genome shotgun sequence.